CCCUGAUCCAGGAGAGAACCAACUCUGGUACCAAGAGGAUAUUUAUUUAGGAUGAGAGCUCUCUAAAGAUUAUUUUAGAUGUCAAACCAAAGGAUCUGUGUCUGGCCAUCAGUGGAUAGGACCUCUGAAAGAUACACCUACUCCGAAUGUGGCAGAAACCAUAAAGCCUUUUGAUGGAAAGACCCAGAGGCAAAUUUCCAGGCCGAGAGUAAGUUUUUACCAUGGACAAAAGAGACAUCCCUGAAAUGGGUGCAGAUGAUGUUGCCCCUGUGAUUCCAAAUAGGUCACUCCCAAAGAUAGACAUGGAAUAUGAAGGCAUUCAUUGUCACAGGUGGUAAGGAAACUCCAGUCUUCCACAAAAGUGAGACACCUUCAAUCACAAACCCACUAAUCUGUGACACCAGGUAGGCAAUACUGGGACAGGAAUUUCCCUAGCACAUGUAAGGCAGCAAAGAGAAAAGACGCAGACUCAGCUCUGAGAGUUGGCACAGUUGCUAGGCAAAGUAUCUUGGGUCCCCAUCCUGAUAGCUCACCACCUACAGAUGCAAGCCCAACAACCUGCAACGCCAGCAGAAAAACCAGGGGGAAUGUGCUCUCAAUGGAUCCAAGCCAAGCUCUCAAGACACAAGAUAAGAUGGAAGAAAAAUCUCAUCUUUUUAAAAAAUUGGUGACCCACAGCAAAGUUGGUUCAAAUGGAGACUGGUCCGGUGAGAACUGUAAACUCACCAAUCUGUGAGGUUGAACAACAGGCUUAUAGGACAUAUGCCUGCAUUUUACCCUAUGAUUCUUCCUCUUAUGACAAAUGACACAAAAGACAGAGACAAAAGAAUAUUGUGGCUACCCUUUGAGAGAGAGAUGGAUCAGUAAGAAAUGAUCAAAGUCACACAAACCCAGAGAACUAACUUCACACAAAUGUUUUCUCCUGUUAAUCUAAACUUGGAAAGGAGAAAUUUUUACCACCUGGUCUUGACCAUAGUCUACACAUGGAAAUCUGGGAUGCUGAGUUCAGGAAGAAUUCUUAACCUUUUACCAGUUUGGUCUGGGCCCCAGAGUUUUACUGUAGCCUCUGGGGUGAGUCAGGGACUUUGUUGGUUUUGUUCUCUGUUGUAUCCCUAGCACCUAGAACAGCACUCAGGCACAUAGCAGAUUCUCAGAAAACUCUAGUUGAAGAAUGGAUGGGAGCCAGGCACAUUGCAAACAUCACUAAGAUGCACAGAUGUCCUCCAAGGUGGGCAUUUGAAUGAGACUCAGAGAGGACAGGUGAAUUCCCCAAGGUCGCUGCUAUGGUUUGAGUAUUUGUCCUCUCCAAAAUUUAUGUUGAAGUUUAAUUCCCAAUUUGGUAGUGUGGAGAGGUAAGACCUUUGAAAGGUUAUUGGGUCAUGAAGGCUCUGCCGUCAUGAAUGGAUUAAUGGGUUAAUGAAUUAACGGGUUACCAUGGGAGUGAGACUGGUGGCCCUAUAAAAAGAGGAAAAGAAACCUGAACUAGCACACUUAGCCUCCUUGCCAUGUGAUACCUAUCUGCACUGCCUGAGGACUCUCAGAGAGUCCCCACCAGUAAGACCAUCCUAACCAGAUGUGCCCCCUCAACCUUGAACUUAGCCUCCAGAACUGUAAGAAAUAAAUUGCCU
rnacentral:lncRNA from 10 species